rnacentral:rRNA from 1 species
UACGGAGGGUGCAAGCGUUAUCCGGAUUCACUGGGUUUAAAGGGUGCGUAGGCGGGUUGGUAAGUCCGUGGUGAAAUCCCCAAGCUUAACUUGGGAACUGCCGUGGAUACUAUCAAUCUUGAAUAUCGUGGAGGUAAGCGGAAUAUGUCAUGUAGCGGUGAAAUGCUUAGAUAUGACAUAGAACACCAAUUGCGUAGGCAGCUUACUACACGAUCAUUGACGCUGAUGCACGAAAGCGUGGGGAGCAAACAGG